UGGUUUUUAGUCAAUUUUGGCGUGCUGAUUUCGGCUCAGCGAGGAUGGUGGUAGAACCAUAAAAGCUUU
rnacentral:tRNA from 1 species